rnacentral:rRNA from 1 species
UACGAAGGGGGCUAGCGUUGCUCGGAAUUAUUGGGCGUAAAGGGUGCGUAGGCGGCAGGGUAAGUUAGAUGUGAAAUACCGGUGCUUAACAUCGGAAUUGCAUUUAAGACUGCCUUGCUUGAGCAUUAGAGAGGAGACUGGAAUUUACGGUGUAGCAGUGAAAUGCGUAGAUAUCGUAAGGAAGACCAGUGGCGAAAGCGAGUCUCUGGCUAAAUGCUGACGCUGAGGCACGAAAGCUGGGGGGAGCAAACGGG